rnacentral:rRNA from 2 species
GCUGGCGACCAUAGCAAGAGUGAACCACCUGAUCCCUUCCCGAACUCAGAAGUGAAACCUCUUAGCGC